rnacentral:rRNA from 1 species
CUUUUCUUGUUAGUUUUUGAAGUAUGGCCUGCCCGCUGAUGGGUUAAUUUAGUUGAAGGGCCGCGGUAUUUUGACCGUGCAAAGGUAGCAUAGUCAUUAGUUCUUUAAUUGUGAUCUGGUAUGAAUGGCUUGACGAGAUGUGAGCUGUCUUGGUGUUGAAUUGUUUAUUGAAUUUGGUUUUUGAGUUAAAAUUCUUAGAUGUAUUUAUGGGACGAGAAGACCCUAUAGAGUUUGACAGUUUUGUGUGUUAUUUAUUUGUUUGUUUUUGUGUUUUGCAUAGUUUACUGUUUUGUUGGGGUGAUGGGAGGAAUUUUCUUAACUCCUCUUUUUUGUGGUAUAUUGAUUUAUAUUUAUUUUGAUCCAUUUAUUUUGAUUAUAAGGUUAAAUUACC